CAAGGAGGUACCUUUCUGGCUUCUCUGUUGAACAUUUCCUAAAUAAAGUGUGGAUGAAAAGCAAUAGAGGAAGGAAAUGCAGAAAAUUAUAAGGCUGAAAUAGAAACUGGCCACAGCAGAGAUUAAAGGCCCUUCCUGGGUUAGCUGAUGCUCACCUACAUUGAUGAGGACAAUCUUUGUUUAGUUUGCUGAUUCAAUUGCUCACCUCUUCUGGAAACACCUUCACAGACUCACCAGAAAUAAUGUUUUAC
rnacentral:lncRNA from 10 species